UACGUAGGGACCAAGCGUUGUUCGGAUUUACUGGGCGUAAAGGGCGCGUAGGCGGCGCGGUAAGUCACUUGUGAAAUCUCUGAGCUUAACUCAGAACGGCCAAGUGAUACUGCAGUGCUAGAGUGUGGAAGGGGCAAUCGGAAUUCUUGGUGUAGCGGUGAAAUGCGUAGAUAUCUGGAGGAACACCGGUGGCGAAGGCGGCAUCCUGGACCAACACUGACGCUGAGGAGCGAAAGCCAGGGGAGCAAACGGG
rnacentral:rRNA from 1 species